rnacentral:lncRNA from 1 species
GUGUAGUCUAGUAAGUGUGUUUCUAUGUGGAGUUAAUUGGGGUGGACUUCCAAUUGAAGGCAGCUGUGUGGUGUUGCCUUUGAUUGGAAGUCCUAUAUUAGUUGGGUGUGUUUGUCUGUGUGUUUGUGGGAGAUUGUUCUGUGUUUAGCCUUGUGCCUUGCCAGACUGUCAGUGGAUCGUUCGUUCUCUUGUUUGUUGUUUUUGUGUUCGUUUUGAUUUAAUAAAUGUUCAAAAUGAACAAACACAGUCCUGCUGCAUUUUGGUCCUCCUUCACCGACGAUAACCGUGACAACCCUCAUAGAUAUCAUCCUAACCAACUUGCCCUCCAAAUACACCUCUGCUGGAAUAUGUUUUGUCAUUCAUCCGAUAACAUUGAGGAGUUUAUCACAUCAGUCACCAGCUUCAUUAUUAAGCGCAUUAACGACGUCGUCCCCACAGUGACCAGACGUAUGUACAUAUAGGUAGGUAGGGGUAAAGGAUAGAUAAUAGGCAGUAUACUGUAGGUAGGGGUAAAGGAUAGAUAAUAGGCAGUAUACUGUAGGUAGGGGUAAAGGAUAGAUAAUAGACAGUAGCAGCAGUAUACUGUAGGUAGGGGUAAAGGAUAGAUAAUAGACAGUAACAGCAGUAUACUGUAGGUAGGGGUAAAGGAUAGAUAAUAGACAGUAGCAGCAGUAUACUGUAGGUAGGGGUAAAGGAUAGGUAAUAGACAGUAACAGCAGUAUACUGUAGGUAGGGGUAAAGGAUAGAUAAUAGACAGUAACAGCAGUAUACUGUAGGUAGGGGUAAAGGAUAGAUAAUAGACAGUAACAGCAGUAUACUGUAGGUAGGGGUAAAGGAUAGAUAAUAGACAGUAACAGCAGUAUACUGUAGGUAGGGGUAAAGGAUAGAUAAUAGACAGUAACAGCAGUAUACUGUAGGUAGGGGUAAAGGAUAGAUAAUAGACAGUAACAGCAGUAUACUGUAGGUAGGGGUAAAGGAUAGAUAAUAGACAGUAACAGCAGUAUACUGUAGGUAGGGGUAAAGGAUAGAUAAUAGACAGUAACAGCAGUAUACUGUAGGUAGGGGUAAAGGAUAGAUAAUAGACAGUAACAGCAGUAUAUGUGAUGAGUCAAAAGAGUUGAGAGUGCAAAAAGGGUCAAUGCAGAUAGUCCAGGUAGCUAUUUAGUUAGCUAUUUAACUAACUAUUUAUCAGUCUUAUAGCUUGGGGCUAGAAGCUGUUCAGGGUCCUGUUGGUUCCGGACUUUGAGAGGAGCAGGGGCCAGUGUGUGUUUAGCAGAGAGAGAGAACGCCAAGCCGACUCACGUCAGUUAGACAAACUUGUUGCUGCCAUAGGUUAUCCAUCAUAUCAUCUGGUAGUGCCUAUCAUGACUGCAUUAACUUGUUAGCUAGCUAAGAGUAGCCAGCUAAUUUAGCCGGCUAGCUAGCUAGCUACAGUAAAGCAAAACAUGUUUCUGCUCUCCCUGUCCAAUGUCUACAUUCAUAUGAAACAACAGCCCAACAGCCUCAUUGUAGCCUAUUCCUUCUCAUUUAGCCAACUUCAUUCCAUAAUUUGUGUGUGUGCAUGUAUGUGUGUGUGAUGGAACUGACAGCUCAUGCUGAGGGAGACAGAGUAGUAGUCUGUGUGUGUGUGUGUGUGUGUGUGUGUGAGAGAGAGAGAGAGAAAGAGAUGGGACUGACAGCUGAGGGAGACAGAGUAGUAGUCUGUGUGUGUGUGUGUGUGUGUGUG